GGAUGCCAUUGGUGAGUGGAAUCUGGUACCUGUUACGCGCCUCCGGAUCCAUAUCUUACCUUACACGCUACCCAGAUUAGGUUGGAUCACACAGCAAGCAGGUCUGAAUUGGGUUAGCAGAUGUUUGUGUCCGGGUUUGAGUUGGAUUAGUUAUGGAUCCAGACUGAAUAUGGGUCUCAAGUAGGUACUGCUAUUCAGAAAACUUAAUCCGGCCC
rnacentral:lncRNA from 1 species